rnacentral:rRNA from 1 species
GAUGAACGCUGGCGGCGUGCUUAAUACAUGCAAGUCGAGCGAACAGACCAGGAUUUUGUUCCUUUCACGUUUGCGGCGGACGGGUGUUUAACACGUGUUUACCCUCCUUUUAUUUCUGGGAUAAUUUCGGGACACCGGCUCUAAUACCGUAUAAUUUUUUGAUCCCCUUGGUUCAUUAGUGAAUUUCGUUUUUUUUUUUACUUUUCGUUGCUUCUGCGCCGCAUUAGCUAGUUGUUAAGUUAACGGCUUACCAAGGCAACGAUGCGUAGCCGACCUGAGAGGGUGAUCGGCGACACGGGAACUGAGACACGGACCAGACGCCUACGGGAGGCAGCAGUAGGGAAUCUUCCGCAAUGGGCGAAAGCAUGACGGAGCAACGCCGCGUGAGUGAUGAAGGUGUUCGGAUCGUAAAACUCUGUUAUUAGGGAAGAACAAAUGUGUAAGUAAAUAUGCACGGAGUGACGGUACCUAAUCAGAAAGCCACGGCUAACUACGUG